rnacentral:rRNA from 1 species
CUCCAGAGUUUGAUCCUGGCUCAGGACGAACGCUGGCGGCGUGCUUAACACAUGCAAGUCGAACGAUGAUCUCCCGCUUGCGGGGGUGAUUAGUGGCGAACGGGUGAGUAAUACGUGAGUAACCUGCCCUUGACUCUGGGAUAAGCCUGGGAAACCGGGUCUAAUACUGGAUACGACCCCCUGUCGCAUGGUGGGGGGUGGAAAGGGUUUGACUGGUUUUGGAUGGGCUCACGGCCUAUCAGCUUGUUGGUGGGGUAAUGGCUCACCAAGGCGACGACGGGUAGCCGGCCUGAGAGGGUGACCGGCCACACUGGGACUGAGACACGGCCCAGACUCCUACGGGAGGCAGCAGUGGGGAAUAUUGCACAAUGGGCGGAAGCCUGAUGCAGCGACGCCGCGUGAGGGAUGACGGCCUUCGGGUUGUAAACCUCUUUCAGUAGGGAAGAAGCGAGAGUGACGGUACCUGCAGAAGAAGCGCCGGCUAACUACGUGCCAGCAGCCGCGGUAAUACGUAGGGCGCAAGCGUUGUCCGGAAUUAUUGGGCGUAAGAGCUCGUAGGCGGUUUGUCGCGUCUGCUGUGAAAGCCCGGGGCUCAACCCCGGGUCUGCAGUGGGUACGGGCAGACUAGAGUGCAGUAGGGGAGACUGGAAUUCCUGGUGUAGCGGUGAAAUGCGCAGAUAUCAGGAGGAACACCGAUGGCGAAGGCAGGUCUCUGGGCUGUUACUGACGCUGAGGAGCGAAAGCAUGGGGAGCGAACAGGAUUAGAUACCCUGGUAGUCCAUGCCGUAAACGUUGGGCACUAGGUGUGGGGGACAUUCCACGUUCUCCGCGCCGUAGCUAACGCAUUAAGUGCCCCGCCUGGGGAGUACGGCCGCAAGGCUAAAACUCAAAGGAAUUGACGGGGGCCCGCACAAGCGGCGGAGCAUGCGGAUUAAUUCGAUGCAACGCGAAGAACCUUACCAAGGCUUGACAUUCACCGGACCGCCUCAGAGAUGGGGUUUCCCUUCGGGGUCGGUGGACAGGUGGUGCAUGGUUGUCGUCAGCUCGUGUCGUGAGAUGUUGGGUUAAGUCCCGCAACGAGCGCAACCCUCGUUCUAUGUUGCCAGCACGUGAUGGUGGGGACUCAUAGGAGACUGCCGGGGUCAACUCGGAGGAAGGUGGGGAUGACGUCAAAUCAUCAUGCCCCUUAUGUCUUGGGCUUCACGCAUGCUACAAUGGCCGGUACAAAGGGUUGCGAUACUGUGAGGUGGAGCUAAUCCCAAAAAGCCGGUCUCAGUUCGGAUUGAGGUCUGCAACUCGACCUCAUGAAGUCGGAGUCGCUAGUAAUCGCAGAUC